rnacentral:lncRNA from 1 species
ACAGAAUGACCGCUGGGCGGUGUAUAUAAGUAGUGGGCCCGGGUGUCUCCGAACUGAGACUGCAUAGAGUUAAAUUACGCGAUGAUGGGCGAAGCGUUCACGGUAGUCUUGGUCGUCGCGCUUUGCAGCACGAACGUUAUUCAGGCCAAGCUCGGAGCACCGGGAUGUCCAAUGAAGUUGAAGAAGUCCGAUCUACCGGAAAGCUUCAAGAUAAUCUCAAGCUGGGAGUCCGCACUGGCCAUAGCGGUCUCGGGCACAGACCCCAUGUACGACUGUAUGACGGCGAACCGCACCACCAUUGACUACGAGGCACAGACAGCAACAUUCGUGUGGGCCCUCCAAGCGACAGGCCAUUCGGCAAGGCAAGAAGUCACGUUCUGGUCAGACCGGGACCUAAGCCUCACACCAUGGAGAUGACUGUGGGCGACGACCCCAAAGUCUUGGAGGGCGUGUUCUAUUACAUGGAUGACACUUGCCUUGUGAUGGACCUCGAGUACCACGAUCACCUGUGUCUUCUCUGGGUUCGGAAAGAAGCUAAGGACCACGUUCCCCAGGUGUGCUUCGCACAAUUUGCCGAUGCCUGCGGGAAGCCCGCCCGCCAUCACGGGAAGCAACUCUGCCCCGGCGUCUAGAUCCCCAACUGGAUCGACAGCAAAAUCGACGGCGAUCCCUCAUAGCUGUAGAUGCGCGACACUUGUAUCGACUGUUAGUCAGUUUGAUUCACCGACAAAUGUGCACCCUUCUAAUUUUUCAAUAAUACCGUGUAAGCGUUUAUCCCCGACACGGAGUUUCUAAUAUCGGCGAGAAGUAAGAUCAGCGACACGACGAUCAGUUUUUCAUCGGUCUUGUAGAUAUAUGAGCACACAGAUAACGAUGAGAGGGUGCAUGCAUCCUUAAGCAGACAGCGUAGCAGAUGGCGCUCGCCCAUGAGUAUGCUUUCCGCGCUUGCGCGCCUUACAGCAUAUCUCGCUGCUUCUCGCCUAUAUAGGGCCCUACCAUGUCCCGUGGUCAAUGCUCGCGAGAUAUUAUUAAACAAUUGCAAGGGUGUGCAGUUAGUCAAUAGGUCUGUAGAUCGACAGUGACAUCGAAACUUACAGUACCAGCCAUCUCGACAGCUGAGUUAACAGCUAAAUGAACAACAGAGAGCUGAGUAUUGACCAAUAUGUAGACGACAAAUGAUUUACAUAAGGAUAUGCAGUUAAUCGGCAGCCAGAUCGACAUCUAGGUUCACAAAUAGAUCGCCAACUGUAGUUCGACACAUUGAUAUCUAUGAAUAUCUCGACCUAUAC